GCGGUUGUGGUCUAGUGGUUAGGACGGUAGCUUCCCAAGCUACCUACUCGGGUUCAAAUCCCGACAACCGCA
rnacentral:tRNA from 1 species